CCUACGGGUGGCAGCAGUGAGGAAUAUUGGUCAAUGGGCGCGAGCCUGAACCAGCCAAGUAGCGUGAAGGAUGACUGCCCUACGGGUUGUAAACUUCUUUUAUAAAGGAAUAAAGUGAGGCACGUGUGCCUUUUUGUAUGUACUUCAUGAAUAAGGAUCGGCUAACUCCGUGCCAGCAGCCGCGGUAAUACGGAGGAUCCGAGCGUUAUCCGGAUUUAUUGGGUUUAAAGGGAGCGUAGAUGGGUUGUUAAGUCAGUUGUGAAAGUUUGCGGCUCAAACGUAAAAUUGAAAUGGAUACUGGAAGCCUUGAGUACAUGUGAGGAAGGGGGAAUUCGUGGUGUAGCGUGGAAAUG
rnacentral:rRNA from 1 species